GGAUAGCCCAACGGGGAGUGCUGCUACUUCUCCUACUCCUGGCUGGAUGAACGACAUGAAGGGUGCACCGGACAUUUCAACGUUGAGCAAUUCUGGACCAUCUACAGGUACCUCCUGGAGUUCUCAAGAUUUUGACCAUCCUCGAGAUAUAUCGGCCUAUGGUAUACUUCCUGAAAAUAGUAGUCCGGGAUCAACACCGUACCCUGACAUACCAAAGCCACCCCGAAAGGCUAGAAGGAAGAAAACUACCAAGAGCAGUUCGCCAACGGCAUCAUCGAGAUCAUCAAGGUCAUCAAGAUCAAGAUCUAAGGGUUCACUUUCAUCCACUACUCCUGACACCAUUGCCAAUGAUAUUCAACGUGAAAUCCGGAUUGUGUAGGCUGUCAUGUUUUGUACCCCCUUUCUCAGGAUUAUAGAAGUAUUUGAAAAACGACUUUGCAUAGGAAAUAGGAAUACAAACGUCAUUUAUUUUUUAUUGUUUCA